GACGAACCGUCCGAACGUUAUUCGGAAUCACUGGGCUUAAAGGGUGCGUAGGCGGCGCGGAAAGUUGGGUGUGAAAUCCCUCGGCUUAACCGAGGAACUGCGCCCAAAACUACCGUGCUCGAGGGAGAUAGAGGUGAGCGGAACUUAGGGUGGAGCGGUGAAAUGCGUUGAUAUCCUAAGGAACACCGGUGGCGAAAGCGGCUCACUGGAUCUCUUCUGACGCUGAGGCACGAAAGCUAGGGUAGCGAACGGG
rnacentral:rRNA from 1 species